CAAAAUAAAGCUUUAAGUAAGCAUUUCAUUUACAUUGAAAAUAGUGUCUGUGCGAUUCAGAUUAUUUUGA
rnacentral:tRNA from 1 species